CCUUUUUUUUGCAAUUCUAUCGGCAAUGUAUGAGCACCCCUGUAUAGCCACAACUCUGUUAUCAUGUACGGCUGCUAAAAUGCCUCAGUUUCAGCCUAAAGUAACAACAGACAAAGUUCAUAAUCUCAACAAUAUUAUGAUUGUACAUGUAUAACCUAUAUCAAAUUGCUUGCCAUCUCAGGAAGUGGGAAGGAAAGGGAAAGAAUCUAAACUCAAAAUUUCAAAAAGAAUGUUAAAGGUUGUUUUUAUAUGUGAUUGAAAAAGAUAUUAUUUAAAAUCUCAGCAAAACUGAUAUUUUAAUCUAUAGGAUAAAAUUGGAUUAUAGACAUUCUGUAUGAUCCCAUGGUCAGUGUGUAUAAUGUUGUGCAUCCUAGAUACCAGAAAUAGUAUAAAGCAUUCAUUUGAGAGCCAAAGAGUAUAUUUCUACUGUGCACAUAUUAGACACAAUUCAAUGUUCACUCUUUAAAUACCUGCAGAUUAUAAUUCUCCUUCUGUCCUAUUUGAAACUUGCUUAAGGGUAUAGUUAUCUUAAAAGGAUUUGAUUUGCAUGUAAGCCCUAGGGCUAGGACAUGAAGGAGAAAAGAAAAUCUCUUGGCCCACUGGAACAAAAAACUGUUUUGAGAGACCCUUCAUUGAUAUUAUAAGCUUUAUUCAUUAUCCAGAUUUCCAUGCCUGGAACAGAGGAAGUCAGAGUAAUCUGGCCUAUCCACAGGAGGUGGGUGCCACAUUAAAGUACCCAGUGCUUGCUUCUCAUUUCUGACCAAUCAUUUCUUAACCCCUUGCAAUCUAAAUUUUAUUCCUAUGAGCAGAUGAAAGUGCUCUCUCUAAAUGACUAACAUCUGUUAUAUUGAAAUCCAAUGGCUUUGAAUACUGGAAUGGAGAACCAGAAUUAGGGUUCAAAUUCUUGGAUUCAAAUCCUGCCUCAGACAUUUAUUGUGUAUAUAACACUGGGAAAGUCACCACUUAGCACAGUGCUUGGCACAUAGAAAAUGGUUAAAAAAUGUUUUCCCUUUUUUCUUCCUUCCUUCUUCCUUCCUUCCUUCCUUCCUUCCUUCCUUCCUUCCUUCCUUCCUUCCUUCCUUCCUUCCUUCCUUCCUUCCUUCCUUCCUUCCUUCCUUCCUCCCUCCCUCCCUUCCUUCCUUCCUUCCUUCCUUUCUCUUUCUUUUUCUUUCUUUCUUUCUUUCUUUCUUUCUUUCUUUCUUUCUUUCUUUCUUUCUUUCUUUCUUUCUUUCUUUCUUUCUUUCUUUCUUUUUCUUUCUUUCUUUCUUUCUUUCUUUUUCUCUUUCUUUCUUUCUUUCUUUCUUUCUUUCUUUCUUUCUUUUUCUUUCUUUCUUCCUUUCUCUCUGUAACUUAAAUACAUUCUCAAAAAAUAAACACUUUACCUUCUGUCUUAGAUUCA
rnacentral:lncRNA from 1 species